rnacentral:rRNA from 1 species
UGGGGAAUAUUGCACAAUGGGCGCAAGCCUGAUGCAGCCAUGCCGCGUGUAUGAAGAAGGCCUUCGGGUUGUAAUGUACUUUCAGCGGGGAGGAAGGCGAUAAGGUUAAUAACCUUGUCGAUUGACGUUACCCGCAGAAGAAGCACCGGCUAACUCCGUGCCAGCAGCCGCGGGCAUACGGAGGGUGCAAGCGUUAAUCGGAAUUACUGGGCGUAAAGCGCACGCAGGCGGUCUGUCAAGUCGGAUGUGAAAUCCCCGGGCUCAACCUGGGAACUGCAUUCGAAACUGGCAGGCUAGAGUCUUGUAGAGGGGGGUAGAAUUCCAGGUGUAGCGGUGAAAUGCGUAGAGAUCUGGAGGAAUACCGGUGGCGAAGGCGGCCCCCUGGACAAAGACUGACGCUCAGGUGCGAAAGCGUGGGGAGCAAACA